rnacentral:rRNA from 1 species
UACGUAGGGUGCAAGCGUUGUCCGGAAUUAUUGGGCGUAAAGAGCUCGUAGGCGGCUUGUCGCGUCGGCUGUGAAAACCUGGGGCUCAACCCCGGGCCUGCAGCCGAUACGGGCAGACUAGAGUGCUGUAGGGGAGACUGGAAUUCCUGGUGUAGCGGUGAAAUGCGCAGAUAUCAGGAGGAACACCGGUGGCGAAGGCGGGUCUCUGGGCCGAUAUUGACGCUGAGGAGCGAAAGCGUGGGUAGCGAACAGG